GGUCGGGUGGUGUAAAGGUAACACGUCCUCUGAAAAUCUGGCUUCAUCCCCUGGCGUUUUAAGAGGAAACUCCUUGUUCGAAUCAAGGCUCAAUCA